rnacentral:rRNA from 1 species
UGGGGGAUAUUGCACAAUGGGGGGGAACCCUGAUGCAGCGACGCCGCGUGGGUGAAGAAGCGCCUCGGCGCGUAAAGCCCUGUCAGCAGGGAAGAAAAUGACGGUACCUGAAGAAGAAGCCCCGGCUAACUACGUGCC